rnacentral:rRNA from 1 species
CCUACGGGAGGCAGCAGUAGGGAAUCUUCCGCAAUGGACGAAAGUCUGACGGAGCAACGCCGCGUGAACGAUGAAGGCCUUCGGGUCGUAAAGUUCUGUUGUUAGGGAAGAACAAGUGUUAGUUGAAUAAGCUGGCACCUUGACGGUACCUAACCAGAAAGCCACGGCUAACUACGUGCCAGCAGCCGCGGUAAUACGUAGGUGGCAAGCGUUGUCCGGAAUUAUUGGGCGUAAAGCGCGCGCAGGCGGUUUCUUAAGUCUGAUGUGAAAGCCCCCGGCUCAACCGGGGAGGGUCAUUGGAAACUGGGAAACUUGAGUGCAGAAGAGGAAAGUGGAAUUCCAAGUGUAGCGGUGAAAUGCGUAGAGAUUUGGAGGAACACCAGUGGCGAAGGCGACUUUCUGGUCUGUAACUGACGCUGAGGCGCGAAAGCGUGGGGAGCAAACAGGAUUAGAUACCCUGGUAGUCCACGCUGUAAACGAUGAGUGCUAAGUGUUAGAGGGUUUCCGCCCUUUAGUGCUGAAGUUAACGCAUUAAGCACUCCGCCUGGGGANCGGUCGCAAGCUGAAACUCAAAUGAAUUGACCGGNUGAGACGUGCGACGCGACGACGAGGGAGAG